AUUGAACGCUGGCGGCAUGUCUUACACAUGCAAGUCGAACGGCAGCACGGGAGCAAUCCUGAUGGCGAGUGGCGAACGGGUGAGUAAUACAUCGGAACGUGCCCAGUAGUGGGGGAUAGCCCGGCGAAAGCCGGAUUAAUACCGCAUGAGACCUGAGGGUGAAAGCGGGGGAUCGCAAGACCUCGCGCUAUUGGAGCGGCCGAUGUCAGAUUAGCUAGUUGGUAGGGUAAAGGCCUACCAAGGCAACGAUCUGUAGUUGGUCUGAGAGGACGACCAGCCACACUGGGACUGAGACAUGGCCCAGACUCCUACGGGAGGCAGCAGUGGGGAAUUUUGGACAAUGGGCGCAAGCCUGAUCCAGCAAUGCCGCGUGCAGGAAGAAGGCCUUCGGGUUGUAAACUGCUUUUGUCAGGGAAGAAAUCUUCUGGGCUAAUACCCUGGGAGGAUGACGGUACCUGAAGAAUAAGCACCGGCUAACUACGUGCCAGCCGCCGCAGUAACAC
rnacentral:rRNA from 1 species